rnacentral:rRNA from 1 species
GACGAACGCUGGCGGCGUGCCUAAUACAUGCAAGUAGAACGCUGAAGGAGGAGCUUGCUUUUCUGGAUGAGUUGCGAACGGGUGAGUAACGCGUAGGUAACCUGCCUGGUAGCGGGGGAUAACUAUUGGAAACGAUAGCUAAUACCGCAUAAGAGUAGAUGUUGCAUGACAUUUGCUUAAAGUGCAAUUGCAUCACUACCAGAUGGACCUGCGUUGUAUUAGCUAGUUGGUGAGGUAACGGCUCACCAAGGCAACGAUACAUAGCCGACCUGAGAGGGUGAUCGGCCACACUGGGACUGAGACACGGCCCAGACUCCUACGGGAGGCAGCAGUAGGGAAUCUUCGGCAAUGGGGGGAACCCUGACCGAGCAACGCCGCGUGAGUGAAGAAGGUUUUCGGAUCGUAAAGCUCUGUUGUAAGAGAAGAACGAGUGUGAGAGUGGAAAGUUCACACUGU